GAUUGAAGGGAUGAAUUCAUGUAUUGUAAAGAGUUGGAUAUGAUACGUUUAAGCAGCCCUCUGCUGCUGCCUCUUGGCUUCAUUUUGCAGCGUCUGCCUCAAGCGGAAGGGUGGAAAGAAGCAGAGCUGGGCCCAUGUCACUGUUAUUUGGUCCUAGGCAGGUGUGAUUCUGCAUACACCUCCUGUCAUCUACCCUAAUUUGCUCUUUGAAGCAAAUCAGUUCUCUGUGGCCAUACCCCCCAGUUGGGAUCAGCCUCUGUUGUAUGGAAUGGGUACAGAACAGGGAAACAAUGUCACCCUGCUCCUUUAUUAUAG
rnacentral:lncRNA from 1 species